rnacentral:rRNA from 1 species
CAGGCCUAACACAUGCAAGUCGAACGCUCCGCAAGGGGAGUGGCGCACGGGAGAGUAACGCGUGGGAACCUACCUAUUGGUUCGGGACAACACCGGGAAACUGGUGCUAAUACCGGAUAAGCCCGAGAGGGGAAAGAUUUAUCGCCGAUAGAUGGGCCCGCGUUAGAUUAGCUAGUUGGUGAGGUAAGAGCUCACCAAGGCGACGAUCUAUAGCUGGUCUGAGAGGAUGAUCAGCCUCACUGGGACUGAGACACGGCCCAGACUCCUACGGGAGGCAGCAGUGGGGAAUAUUGGACAAUGGGGGCAACCCUGAUCCAGCCAUGCCGCGUGAAUGAUGAAGGCCUUCGGGUUGUAAAGUUCUUUUGGUAGGGACGAUGAUGACGGUACCUACAGAAUAAGCUCCGGCUAACUUCGUGCCAGCAGCCGCGGUAAU